rnacentral:rRNA from 1 species
UCAGAUUAUAAGAAAUCGUACCCCAAACCGACACAGGUGAUCAGGUAGAGAAUACCAAGGCGCUUGAGAGAACUCGGGUGAAGGAACUAGGCAAAAUGGUACCGUAACUUCGGGAGAAGGUACGCUCCUAGCGGUGAUGAGACUUGCUCUCUAAGCUGCCGGGAGUCGCAGAUACCAGGUGGCUGCAACUGUUUAUUAAAAACACAGCACUGUGCAAAAUCGAAAGAUGACGUAUACGGUGUGACGCCUGCCCGGUGCCGGAAGGUUAAUUGAUGGGGUUAGACUUCGGUCGAAGCUCUUGAUCGAAGCCCCGGUAAACGGCGGCCGUAACUAUAACGGUCCUAAGGUAGCGAAAUUCCUUGUCGGGUAAGUUCCGACCUGCACGAAUGGCGUAAUGAUGGCCACGCUGUCUCCACCCGAGACUCAGUGAAAUUGAAAUCGCAGUGAAGAUGCUGUGUACCCGCGGCUAGACGGAAAGACCCCGUGAACCUUUACUAUAGCUUGGCACUGAACAUUGACCCUACAUGUGUAGGAUAGGUGGGAGACGUUGAAGCAACCGCGCCAGUGGUUGUGGAGUCAAUCUUGAAAUACCACCCUUGUAUGCUUGAUGUUCUAACGUUGGCCCCUUAUCGGGGUUACGGACAGUGCCUGGUGGGUAGUUUGACUGGGGCGGUCUCCUCCCAAAGAGUAACGGAGGAGCACGAAGGUGGGCUAAUCACGGUCGGACAUCGUGAGGUUAGUGCAAUGGCAUAAGCCCGCUUGACUGCGAGAAUGACAAUUCGAGCAGGUGCGAAAGCAGGUCAUAGUGAUCCGGUGGUUCUGAAUGGAAGGGCCAUCGCUCAACGGAUAAAAGGUACUCCGGGGAUAACAGGCUGAUACCGCCCAAGAGUUCAUAUCGACGGCGGUGUUUGGCACCUCGAUGUCGGCUCAUCACAUCCUGGGGCUGAAGUCGGUCCCAAGGGUAUGGCUGUUCGCCAUUUAAAGUGGUACGCGAGCUGGGUUUAGAACGUCGUGAGACAGUUCGGUCCCUAUCUGCCGUGGGCGUUGGAUGAUUGAGAGGGGCUGCUCCUAGUACGAGAGGACCGGAGUGGACGAACCGCUGGUGUUCGGGUUGUAUCGCCAGAUGCAUUGCCCGGUAGCUAAGUUCGGAAUCGAUAACCGCUGAAAGCAUCUAAGCGGGAAGCGAGCCUCAAGAUGAGUCAUCCCUAGACCUUUAAGGUCUCUAAAGGGUUGUUGAAGACUACAACGUUGAUAGGUCAGGUGUGUAAGUGCUGCGAGGCAUUGAGCUAACUGAUACUAAUUGCCCGUGAGGCUUAACCAUACAACACCCAAGGGGUUU